rnacentral:rRNA from 1 species
UACGGGGGGGGCAAGCGUUGUUCGGAAUUACUGGGCGUAAAGGGUUCGUAGGUGGCUUGCUAAGUCACACGUGAAAUCCCUCAGCUUAACUGGGGAACUGCGUGUGAUACUGGCGAGCUUGAGUGCAGGAGAGGAACGCGGAAUUCCAGGUGUAGCGGUGAAAUGCGUAGAUAUCUGGAGGAACACCGGUGGCGAAGGCGGCGUUCUGGACUGCAACUGACACUGAAGAACGAAAGCCAGGGGAGCAAACGGG